GACAGAGGAUGCAAGCGUUGUCCGGAAUUAUUGGGCGUAAAGAGCUCGUAGGCGGUUUGUCGCGUCGGCUGUGAAAGCCCGGAGCUCAACUCCGGGUCUGCAGUCGAUACGGGCAGACUUGAGUGUUGCAGGGGAGACUGGAAUUCCUGGUGUAGCGGUGAAAUGCGCAGAUAUCAGGAGGAACACCGGUGGCGAAGGCGGGUCUCUGGGGCAACACUGACGCUGAGGAGCGAAAGCGUGGGGGAGCGAACAGG
rnacentral:rRNA from 1 species